rnacentral:tRNA from 1 species
GUGAGUAUAGCUCAGUGGUAGAGUGCAUGUUUAGCAUUCAUGAGGUCCUAGGUUCUAUCCCCAGUACUUCCA